GAGUAACUAUGACUCUCUUAAGGUAGCCAAAUGCCUCGUCAUCGUAUGUCGUGUAUAAAGGGAUCGGUUUAAACGGGUCGGUUCGAGAGCUUAUCGUAUAGACGUAUACCGGUAAGCUUCGAGUCGACUCGAAGGGUUGCGGUCAAGGGCUUAUCGUAUAGACGUAUCGAUAGGCCUUCGACUCGACUCGAAGGGUUGGGGGGGGUCAAGGGCUUAUCGGUAGACGUAUCGGUAGGCCUUCGACUCGACUCGACUCGACUCGAAGGGUUGCGGUCAAGCCUAUACGUAUAGACGUAUCGUUAGGCUUCGACUCGACUCGACUCGAAGGGUUGCGGUCAAGGGCUUAUCGGUAGACGUAUCGGUUAGUCCUUCGACUCGACUCGAAGGGUUUGGGGGUCAAGGGCUUAUCGGUAGGACGUAUCGAUAGGCCUUCGACUCGACUCGAAGGGUUAGGGUCAAGGCUUGUCGGUAGACGUAUCGAUAGGCCUUCGACUCGACUCGAAGGGUUGCGGUCAAGGGCUUAUCGGUAGACGUAUCGGUAGGCCUUCGACUCGACUCGAAGGGUUGGGGUCGUCAAGGCUUGUCGGUAGACGUAUCGAUAGGCCUUCGACUCGACUCGGGUCGCCUCGAAGCGUGAGGGCGUUAAGCCUAAGCAGCUUCCCAAGCUAUCGUGUAUAGGCGUAAUCAACCUUGGAUCGAUAAGCUUUCCCGUGAUCACUCAUUGGUGGGUCAAACCGCUAUUGUCAAAUCGCAUGGAUCGAACCGUCGGGUUAGAGACUAGCGACCAAACCGUCGAAGACGGGGGGGAGAGACUGAACGGCAUAGCGCGUUAGGGAGCGGUUUAGCGUUCGAAAACGGGUAAGAUACCGGCAGUAGAACCUAAUCGUACAAAGAAUCAGUCCGCUUUAUCGCUUGACCGGUCUAACCGGUUCGGGUGGUAUGGCACGUAAGAGGUACCUGCGAACAGUACGUCACUCGAGGGCGUGCUCGGUAGCGAGUAAGACGGGUAAGAAAGAAAACCAAAGCUUACGGUAAGAUGUGUUAAUUUGUGACGCGCAUGAAUGGAUUAAUGAGAUUCCCACUGUCCCUACCUACUAUCUAGCGAAACCACAGCCAAGGGAACGGGCUUGGCACAAUUAGCGGGGAAAGAAGACCCUGUUGAGCUUGAGUCUAGGCAUAGACGCGAGGUGAUUCUAAAGGUGUAGCAUAGGUGGGAGGGCCCGAUCCCUGAAAUACCACCACUUUCGACAUCGCUUUGCUAAUGCUGUAACGAAUGAACGACCCCUCGUCCUGAAGCUCGCAAGAGUGGAAGUCGGGUAAGGUCAGAUUCUGGUGUCCUCCAUAAUCGUACGAUUGGUUGGCUAACCUAGGAUAGUACUUCGAGUCCGUGAGCUGGGCUUCCGGGUCUGGCAAGCGUUGUGCUUGGGGGAACUAGGCGUNAUGACUGGUCCUCUGCGGUUUAAUAUUGGUACAUAGUCAGUAGCAGACUAUCUAUGUUGGGGAGUUUGGCUGGGGCGGAAAACUGCUACACGGCAACGGCAGUCUCCUAAGGUCCACUCAGAGACGACAGAAACGUCUCGUAGAGCAUAAAGGCAAAAGUGGGCUUAACUCACGUUUUCAGUAGUAAUGUGAAGCAAGAAAUUGAGGCUUAACGAUCCUUAGCGGCGGGUGCCAGCCCACGCUUGAGGUGAGAGAAAAGUUACCACAGGGAUUGAUAAAGAAACACUCGAUGGGUUCUGACUGCGGGUUGCCAUGCGACUGCGGUUUGGGGGCUUGUCACAUGCGUAGACGGUUUAAGAGGCCUAACCAGCCUCGAUCGGUCUCUCGGAGGCUGAGCUAUCCUGUCGGCUGAUUACCCGAUACCUCGAAAUGGAUAGUGACCGUGGGUACCGCCCUCACCAAUCGUAUAAAGCGUUUAUCAGCUUAUAACGGGUAAGGUUUGCACGUGUGAAUGCCAAAACACGUCGUGUAAGCCAGGUGGGAAGGGUAACUGGUGGCGAAACGGGGGAACGGGGAACGAUUACAAAAAAAAGCUGUCGAUAUGAUGGUCCCGAUAUAUAAUAUUAUCACAUACGACUGAGCCUAGUAGCCUGGUACCCGACGGGGUAACGAGCGAACGGUUUAAGCGUAAACGAUUGAGCCUAGUAAGCCUGGUACCCGACGGGGUAACGAGCGAACGGUUUAAGCGUAAACGAUUAAGCCUAGUAAGCCUGGUACCCGACGGGGUAACGAGCGAACGGUUUAAGCGUACGAUGAGUCUAGUAGCCUUGGUACCCGACGGGGUAACGAGCGAACGGCUAAUCGUGUAACGAUUAAGCGUUGAACCUGGUACCCGACGGGGUAACGGGUGAUCGAUUGAUCGAUUAAGUGUUGAACCUGGUACCCCCCCCCGACGGGGGGGGGGUAACGGGUGAUCGCUUAAAAGCUAUUGGCAGUGUACCCUGACGCUUCCGAAAGGGGUGUAUCGGGCGAACGGUUAAACGCUAGACGGAAAAAAAAGUCUUUCCCUCCCAUACGAUUAAACUCCUGACGAGGGGGUGGGUAGGGUUAGGCGACGCACCUGGUUGCUGAGACGAUCUACUCGACUUGCGAGUCGUUUAAAACGGUAAGGGUACCAAGCGUUUCUGGGUCACACCCGGACGUUAAGCAGGCUUGCGGUUAAGAAAAAGCCGUGGGAAUGCGGGUCAUAAUCUCUUACGUCAGGGGUCAAUCAGCAGGCAACAAGGCCAUCCAGCUAUCAGCAUAAGUGGGGUAUGCGUGACGACGUUUCAUUACGGUCCGCCCCGAGCUUGCAAGACGAUAGCGGGUUUAAACGGUGGUUACGUGCUUCAAUGACUGGUAAGGUGUGGGCGUAGAUGCGGUAUAAGACGUUCUAACGAGCGAUCGAUAUACACGUGCCUGCGUUUAAGGUACAGUCUCAGUCUCCGAUACAAUCGACGUACUAGGUUAAGCUACGCGCGGCCGCCGUAGUCUUGACGUCAAGGGGUCGCGUAUUGGGGACUAUAAACGAACGCGAUUAGGGUUAAGUGACCGAUCUGUUCGGUUAACGCGACUCGAGUCGUGAUAGGCGACAUCGAUAAGAGGGGCAUCCUCGGGUCUAUAGGGGUUAUACCGAUAAGGCGUAUUUUCUCGUCUCGUCUGGUCCUAUGGUCUAUAUCGAUAAAGGGACGUACGGUUCGAUACGGCGUCACGAGUCUAUAUGGUGGGGGGGCGAUCGAAUAUACCAAUCGAUCGAUCGAUGAGGGAGAUCUACCGGUUCGAUACGGUACCCGAGUCGAACGAUAAGAGACGUAUCGAUUACGGUACGGCUCGAGUCGAACGAUAAGAGACGUAUCGAUUACGGUACGGCUCGAGUCGAAUGAGCGAUAAGAGGCGUAUAGUCUCGAGUCGAUCAAAAAGGGUGUCCAGAGCGAUAAGAGGCGUAUAGUCUCGAGUCGACGAGGGUGUCCAAAGCGAUAAGAGGCGUAUCGGUUCGAUACGGUACGUCUCGAGUCGUAGGGUGUCCAAAGCGAUAAGAGGCGUAUAGUCUCGAGUCGAUGAGGGUGUCCAAAGCGAUAAGAGGCGUAUCGGUUCGAUACGAUACGGGUACGUCUCGAGUCGUAGGGUGUCCAAAGCGAUAAGAGGCGUAUAGUCUCGAGUCGAUGAGGGUGUCCAAAGCGAUAAGAGGCGUAUCGGUUCGAUACGAUACGUCUCGAGUCGUAGGGUGUCCAAAGCGAUAAGAGGCGUAUAGUCUCGAGUCGACGAGGGUGUCCAAAGCGAUUAGAGGCGUAUCGGUUCGAUACGGUACGUCUCGAGUCGUAGGAUGGCAAGCGAUAAGAGGCGUAUCGGUUCGAUACGGUACGUCUCGAGUCGUAGGGUGUCCAAAGCGAUUAGAGGCGUAUCGGUUCGAUACGGUACGUCUCGAGUCGUAGGGUGGCAAGCGAUAAGAGGCGUAUAGUCUCGAGUCGAUCAAGACGACAGCGAUAAGAGGUGUAUCGGUUCGAUACGGUACGUCUCGAGUCGAACCGGUCUAAAGCGACUGGUCCAGUGUCGAUAUUCCCCCGUGGCGUACGUGUGCGAUAAAAAGGAGCGAUACCGGUUAAAGCGUUAAGCCCGAUAGCAAGGGUGCUUGAUCGCAUCGACUCGACUGACGAGCUAUACCGAGGUACGAGGUACGAGGGUAUGGAUUGGGGAACUCGCAGUCUAAUACAGGCGGGAACUGGCUUGUGGCCGCCAAGCGUUCAUAGCGACGUGGC
rnacentral:rRNA from 1 species